AAUUAUCCCAUAAAUACUUCUCUCUCUCUCUCGUCUCUCUCUUGGAGAGUUCUCUCACAGAUCUAGCUCUUCCUCAGUUUUUUUCAAUUUGGAUUCAAAUCACAACAUGUCUUCCACCUUAAGCGAUAACCCUUUGGAUCCAACACUUCGAACUCGCAAUAUCAGAGAAGAAUUUCUGCGAACAAGUGUACUGGGAGGCAUAAUGGAGGACUUGUUGUCCAGAUCUUUAAUUCAGUUGAUAUGUAUUGUUUUGCUCUUUCCUUUAGUUUUCUGUAAAUCACUUUUGCUUCUUUUUUUUUCUUUUUUCUUUUUUUUCUGGGCUCUUUACAAUUGAUUCUUAGGAAAAGUACAUGUUCUUCCCCACGAAGUCGAAUCAGAAAUUGGGUUUCUUGGAGCUGGGCUAAUGGAUCCAACAAGGAAAUUAUGGUACUAGAAGAAUGGUAUCCCUAUUCUUUCCUUUAUUGAAGCAUGUUCUGGUUUUUGGUGAAGUUUUGAAUUGACUUUCAAUCAAGUUUGGGCUUCAGUUGAGGAAACUCAGAUGGGGUAACUCCCCCACAAGAUUGGUCGGUCCUGAAGAUUGUAAGAGUUAUAGAUGAAGUACUUGGCACUCCGGUUCCAUGGCGAGAGUCCACAAACAGCAGAUCUGGAAUUCAAACGGGGAUUUGAUGUUAUUGGGAAUUCAGGGAACAAAUAAAUUGACUAAUUGAGGAACCAAUAACUAAAUUAAAUAUGUAAAUAUUUAAAUAAUUAAUAAAAUUCAAUAAAAUGUGCACACGGAUUUUUUUGGUGAUGUCCGUCAGUGGAGGAUUUGUGAUUUCAGUGGGAUCCACCAAAUAUAUUCACACGGACAAAUAAUUCCGUGUGUAAUAGUAUUAGCAACGCCAGUAAUACGUACAGAUAUAUAAAUCCGUCGUUGUACCGUGUGAACUGACAUAUUCACACGGAUUUCCGUGUGCAAUACUAUGAUUUCACACGGAUUCUCAUCCGUGUGUGAUGGGUACUUUUUCUAGUAGUGCGUCCUAUCUUCCAAGGCCUAAUGUCAUUAGUAUUUUGGGUUUCUGAUAUGAGUGCUGAACCACACAGAAUUCGCUUUCGAACCCCUGGGCUUCUCGCGAUGCCCACUUUGGAACACUUCUAAC